AGUGAACGCUGGCGGUAGGCCUAACACAUGCAAGUCGAACGGCAGCACAGUAAGAGCUUGCUCUUACGGGUGGCGAGUGGCGGACGGGUGAGGAAUACAUCGGACUCUACUUUUUCGUGGGGGAUAACGUAGGGAAACUUACGCUAAUACCGCAUACGACCUACGGGUGAAAGCAGGGGAUCUUCGGACCUUGCGCGAUUGAAUGAGCCGAUGUCGGAUUAGCUAGUUGGCGGGGUAAAGGCCCACCAAGGCGACGAUCCGUAGCUGGUCUGAGAGGAUGAUCAGCCACACUGGAACUGAGACACGGUCCAGAGUCCUACGGGAGGCAGCAGUGGGGAAUAUUGGACAAUGGGCGCAAGCAUGAUCCAGCCAUACCGCGUGGGUGAAGAAGGCCUUCGGGUUGUAAAGCCCUUUUGUUGGGAAAGAAAAGCAGCAGGUUAAUACCCCGCUGUUCUGACGGUACCCAAAGAAUAAGCACCGGCUAACUUCGUG
rnacentral:rRNA from 1 species